rnacentral:rRNA from 1 species
AGGACGAACGCUGGCGGCGUGCUUAACACAUGCAAGUCAAGGGGGAGUCGCAAGACUCAACCGGCGAACGGGUGCGUAACACGUGAGCGACCUACCUAAUUGUGGGGGAUAGCCGGCCCAACGGCCGGGUAAUACCGCAUAACGAUCGGAGAGGGGCAUCCCUUUCUGAGGAAAGCCUUCGGGCGCAAUUUGAGGGGCUUCGCGGCCUAUCAGCUAGUUGGCGGGUAACGGCCCACCAAGGCGACGACGGGGUAGCUGGUC